rnacentral:rRNA from 1 species
GACGAACGCUGGCGGCGCGCUUAACACAUGCAAGUCGAGCGAGAACCAGACCUUCGGGUCUGGGGACAGCGGCGAACGGGUGAGUAACACGUGGGUAAUCAACCCUCGGUACUGGGAUAGCCCGGGGAAGCCCGGAUUAAUACCGGAUGGCCCUUCGGAUCUUCGGUUCUGAAGGAAAAGGUAGCUUCGGCCUCCGACCGAGGACGAGCCCGCGGCGGAUUAGCUUGUUGGUGGGGUACCGGCCUACCAAGGCGGCGAUCCGUAGCUGGUCUGAGAGGACGAUCGGCAACAAUGGGACUGAGACACGGCCCAGGCUCCGACGGGAGGCAGCGAGGGGGAAGCGUGCGCUAAUGCGGGAAACCGUGACGCAGCGACGCUGCGUGAGGGAAGAAGGCCUUCGGGUUGUAAACCUCUUUCAGGAGGGACGAAGCUACUCGGGUUAAUAGCCCAGAGGGUGACGGUACCUCCAGGAGAAGCCCCGGCUAACUACGUGCCAGCCGCCGCGGUAAGAC